AUGAAGUCAACAGGAAUCCGGCACUUUCCUGCUGGGCCAAGGCCUGCUGGAAUUUCCCCGUGCCAACCUUCUGCAGGAUGGGAUCCCCAGAGCAUGACCACUGUGUAGCCAGUUCUUGCCUAUGAAGCCAUUAGGCUGAAGAAUUGGAGAGAAAUAAAACCAGUUUUUCUAUGGUCAGGAUGACCUUGUUACUGUUGUCAACUGCAGCUGAAAUUAAAAUCUCCAGCACAUAUGUUACAAUA